rnacentral:rRNA from 1 species
GAUGAACGCUGACAGAAUGCUUAACACAUGCAAGUCGACUUGAACUUCGCUUCGUGUGUCGGACGCUCGAGUAACGCGUAAAUAACUAACCUCACAGUUACCUACCCUAUAUGUUAACGUAAGUUCAUAACUCUUAUGCUGAUUCUAGAGCAUCGCACGUUCAUGAUAGCUAUAUUCGCUGUGUGAGGGCUUUUCGUCCUAUUCUCUCGUCGGAGGGGUAACGGCUUACCAAGGCGAUGAUGGGUAGCCGGCCUGGGUGGGUGAUCGGCAAAAAGGGAACUGAGACACGGCCCUUACUCCUACGGGAGGAAGCAGUGGGGAAUAUUGGACAAGGGACCAAGAGUCUGAUCCAGCAAUUCUGUGUGGACGAUGAAGUUUUUCGGAAUGUAAAGUGCUUUCAGUUGGGAAGAAAAAAAUGACGGUACCAACAGAAGAAGUGACGGCUAAAUACGUG